rnacentral:piRNA from 1 species
UUAUUGUGGUGGAUGCAAAAUGCUGU